rnacentral:rRNA from 2 species
UACGGGGGGCAGCAGUGGGGAAUAUUGCACAAUGGGCGCAAGCCUGAUGCAGCCAUGCCGCGUGUAUGAAGAAGGCCCUAGGGUUGUAAAGUACUUUCAGUCGGGAGGAAGGCGUUGAUGCUAAUAUCAUCAACGAUUGACGUUACCGACAGAAGAAGCACCGGCUAACUCCGUGCCAGCAGCCGCGGUAAUACGGAGGGUGCAAGCGUUAAUCGGAAUUACUGGGCGUAAAGCGCACGCAGGCGGUUGAUUAAGUUAGAUGUGAAAUCCCCGGGCUUAACCUGGGAAUGGCAUCUAAGACUGGUCAGCUAGAGUCUUGUAGAGGGGGGUAGAAUUCCAUGUGUAGCGGUGAAAUGCGUAGAGAUGUGGAGGAAUACCGGUGGCGAAGGCGGCCCCCUGACAAAG